UACUGGUGGUAGUUGAGUGGUUGGACUGGAUGAUCUUGGAAGUUUUUUCCAACCUUAGUGAUUCUAUGAUUCUAAUUAUGACUCCUCUGCAUCAGGCUGGUAGUUCUGAAGACUUCAGUCAGGGUGAUUAACAACUGUACUUUAAUAAAAAAUGUUCUGCUAAAGCCUUCUGAACUGCAGCCCUAAUUACUCUGAAGCCUGAUGUGCAACAAUUGCAAAGCUUAUAGGAUCACCUGAAUCCAGUUAAUGAACCCUCUGUUCCAGCUUGCUGUGACUCAUAAAUUGCGUAGUAUGAAUUCUGGUCUCCCCUGCCCUGCUCCAUUCCCUAGUGAAUAUUUAUGCUGUGUGUUGCCAAAGGUGGUGGUAGGGUGCUUUGAAUAAAUUAACUUAAUAUCUGUGCAUCCUUCCUCUCAUUAUUUCAAGGGACUGUAAGGAUUGAGGGCCUGGGUGUUUUGCUUUGGUCUCAAGGUGACUUCCUUCAAGAAGUCACCAGCGGCUGCUACUGCCCAAUAGCUCUUAUCAGGCUUAUAAGUUCUGUGCGAGAUCAAUACAGCCCCACUCUCUGCUUCCACAGAAGUGCUUUGCAUCUGUUAGAGAACAGUUAGGAAAAACUCACCUCCCUGCUAGCAUUUUGAGAUCAUUUGGCCCGUAUCAUGACAGGAAAAAGUAUUAACCUGGAAAUAAUUUGUUUUUGUUGGAAUACUUUCUCUCUUGGUUUCAACCCUUUGUGUGUCAAUUUGCUUAUGCUUCUGCAAUGCUUUCAAAAGAAAAAAAGCAUACUGACCCCCAAACCACCCGUCCUCAUUUUUGACAAGGUUGCAAGAGGGUGGUCUGGGUAUAGGAGGCCCAAGGAGAUUCAGGAGAGUGGGACUCUGCGUAAGCAGUGGAAACUCAAUGAUGGUUUUGGUUUUAAGUUGCUUUUUCUUUUACAGAUGGAGGGCAUAGUGAGGUUUGGUUUUGUGGCAAAUUGUUGUGUUAAGGAAUCAGCCUGAGCCAGGAAUAAGCAAAAGUUUGUUAUGAAAGUGGUAGUUUAGAACUUCCCUCCUUGUUGACUUCUCAUCUUAGAUGUACUGUGUCCUUACAAGCUUUAAACUAAAUAGACUAGAGUUAUACAUAGAUUUAUAGGCACACUGUUUAGAUACACUAUAAAAUGCACUUCUUUAUGCCUUAUGACUACCAUAAUAGCAAGGAAGCCCAUUUGACGAAUUUAGUGACAGAAAGCAAAGUAAACAUCCGAAGGAUGUAAUGAAGAGAUUCAGAGGAAGAGUAGGACUUAGCAACAUACCAAAGGAAAGACUUGACACCAGUUACAUUUCUGGUCCUGUAGCUCCAGAGCAAUCCUUUACUAAACAUAACGCCACAAGUCAUUUGUCUUCACUGCUCAUGAGUCUGGGUUCAUGGGAUUUUUUGUUUGUUUGUUUUUGUUUUGUUUUAUUGUUGUUUUUUAAAAAAAGGAGAGCAGAUGUGAGGCGUAGCAUUAACUGUCCCUAAACUAUCGCAGCAAUUCAGCAGAGAGGAGGAUGAGGGCACGAGAUCUUUCUCUCUACCUUUGCUUACACCACAGUAAAUACACUUCAGAUAUGGGUCAAGCUGAAAAAAUUCCAACUCCCUUGGAGAGUGUGAAUAAGGAGUAUUAGGUCGGGAGUUUUUGGAGGCUUCAUUAAAUCUCUUGCAACUUGAAAACCCUGGCUAAGAGGGGGAGAAUGCUGAAUGAUUCAAGCAUUGCAGCAGAGAGAGGUGAAUGAAGUUACAAAGGAAAGACAAAAAUGUUUUUUGCAUGCUAGCAACAGAUUUCAGGCCAGUCUGUUACAGCUGUGGGGAGAGAAUGCUAGUGUUUUAUUAUUAUUUUUAAGAGCAGAGCUUAACGAAAAAGAGACUUGGUGGCAUUUAGAACAAGAAAGAAAACCAAGCAAACUUCCUUGGAAAUGGUAAGGAGGGGGAGAUGAUGGAUAAUGAUGGAGACUUUCUAUUACAGCAGCAUCUCUGGCUGUUCCAGCCUACUCGGAACCUGCAAAAAGCCUCUGGUGAGCCACGGGCUGAAUGUGGGAGGAAGGGUUUUUAAACAUCAUAGUAUCCAACUUCUGUGUGCUUAACUUUCCCCCUCUGUUUGCAUGCUACUCUCUGGUGAUAACAGGCAUUUAUCUUCUGUCUGAUGUCUGGCAAUGGGUGAGGGAAGUAGGAGCUGUAGUAUGUAUAAAUAAUGGUUUUAGUUGCUUGGUUUUUUGUUUUUUGUUUGUUGUGUUUUGUUUUUCCUUAUGGAAGAAAUGUGUAAUGUAUUGUCAGGCUGAAGCCAGCUUGUCUCUGACCUCUGACUCCAAGAAGCCAAGUGCCUUGCAGUGGCAUUGUUAUCUAGGUGGCUCAGGGAAAAAAGGGGAAUGCUUGUGCUCCCUCACUGCUGCCCAGAGGGUCAGCUGGGUUCUCUCAGGGUGGGUGGGAAGAUGUCACUGCUUGUCUCUUCAUCAGGCAGAGUGGAGGUCAGCCAUAGAUUUCGCUUUCUCUUGUUAAUGAAUAUUUGUAUUUUGGAUAUUUUGGAAGCUGAGCAUGAGAAGACCGAAACUCAAACUUUUCAGCUUUUAGGGAGAGUGGGAACUGGCUGUAUCCCAUGUACUAUCUGUGGGAUUGCUUCACAAUCAGCAGCCGCUCCAUGUUUCGGGACUGCCUUGUGCUUCCCUCAGAGAUGCUCCAGGUCCUUAGGGCUUUCUCCUGCAGGAGUCAGGCACAGAGGAGCAGAGCAGUCUGUUGUGGACCCAGAGGGAAGAAGACUGUUCCUGGCUCCAGCACAGAUCUAGCUCCCUUAGACCUUGUCCACCCACCUUCACCGUCUUGGCAGGGUGAGGAGGAAGCUUGGCAGAGCAGUGUGUGAGUUAUGCUGCUGUUCUCUGCUAGAAGCAGGCUGUCCUCACUGUGUGACACAGUGGUAGAUCACAGCCUGCUGGUCCAGUUGCAAGAGCAAGGGCUGUCUGACUUACUGGUGAUGAGUCUGGCUUCCAGCAGGGCUGGGAGGAACUGCAGCACUGAAGCUCCUGUUGCCUUCUCACAACUUACUGUAACUGGUGGGAGUUUUCAGCGUUACCCAGAGUGGGACAAAGAUUUUAAACCCUUACCAUGGGGCAAGUAUUCAGGAGGCUUUCAUCUUUGGAUGAAAGAGCUACUAUUUACUUAUCAACAAUAUAAUUCCCCUCCCUCCUACACGUUGCAGGGAAGCUCCUGGGGGCAAAUGGUGCUGUAAUUAAGAGCAAAUAUUUACUAUGAAGGACUAGCUGAGGCCUGGCUGGGCAAGCAGCCACGAGCCUUGUCUGCACUUGCCUUAUGUUUGUUCCCUUUUUGAAAGCAAGGAGUCGAAGUCUUUUGUCAGAGGAGUGUUUGUGAGGCACUUAAUGGAUAGGCUGGGCCUCCGAAGCAGCCAGGAACCAUCAGACUGUUCGUUCCACACCUAGGAAAUCCCCCAAAAACUAAGUUCCUUGUGUCUAGCUACAAGUACUUAACGUCUUUUGUUAGGGGCUGCUCUGAAGUGCAUCUACAAAUGAGGUGAGAUAGGCCUGCAUGCAGGAGGCACAGCUACCAUCAUACUACAAGCAAGCCGUGCUUGUUGACAUGCUUUAAAAUCACAGUUUAACUUAGGUUUCAUUUGCAUCUGCCUUCCCUUUUGAUUCCUGUUGCAAUUCAAGAGUUUACUUCCUAAGCCUCGAGUUCCAGUGUUGUGCUGCGAGGAAACUUGGCUCCUGGAGAAAGCAGGCACUUGCCAAAUCGCUGGGUCUGUUUCACAGGUCAAACUUGCAGCCACCUCACCUGCCCUCUGCCACGCUGGUAAGCUGCAAGGAUGGCUGACAGGGUCCUUGGUCAUCUUUUUGGCAAAGCUCAGCAAGCUGAAAUUUAAAUGUCAAUUGCAAGUAAUAGGAACAAUUGCAAGGAUGUGGUGUGUGGUUCAACCAUCACUGGUGUAGUAAUGCAACAAGGCAUGUGAUUAGACUUGUGAAUUGCUGUAAUGUAUCAAGAUACACAACACAGAUGAGUAAACAUAGGAGACAUGCAGACAUGAGAGCUUGCAAAUAAGAGAGUAGGGUAUCCAAGCAAUGCGAGCACCAGCUUCCAGACUGCUAAGAAACCAUGAAAGUAACUGGAGAGCUGCCCUGCUGCACACUGAUGUCUGCUAUAAAGCUGAAGGCUAUGAUUUGAUAGAGCUUUUGAGAAAUAUGUGAUCCAAUGGUCUGACUUAAGAGACUUUUAUUUGUUCAUCCUCAUGGUGGAGGUUAUCGUGUAUACUUUGCUGCAAAAAAAGCUGAAAACAGGCACACACCCCUACCUGCCCGGAGCUCAGGAAGUUUACCUGGGCCCACUGCUCAAGCCUGUUUAGGUCCCUCUGGAUGGCAUCCCAUCCCUUUGGUGUGUCAAGCACACCCCACAGCUUGGGGUUUCAAGACUGCCAAAAAAAAAAGUCAUCAAUUUAUGUUUGCAAGACCAUUUUCAGUUGAUGACCUGUAUAUUUUCAAAUUAAAUGUAUGGGAUUUCUCUCAGAUAUUCAACUGAAAAAUAUGAUUGUGACUCUUUCCUGGACUUUUAUAAUUCCUAUCUUGGCAUAGAGAAAAAUAUCCUUUGCAAUUGCUUCUAUUCAUACCAUCACUUUCUGACAGAAGGCACAUUUUGAACAAUUAUUGUCAAGGAUGAAGUACAGGAAGAGUAAAAUUUCAUCAAAAAGGUGUUGGUCAAGGUGACUGCUGAGCCUCCUGCCCUGCUGUGAUGGUGUGUUUGGGAGAUGGGGCUUUACUCUUUUGGGUGGAUGCAUCAGACAUGCUCUCUUAUUCAGAGCUGUUGAUCUCAGAGACAUUCUAGCAAGCUCUGUCCAAAGCAGCAAGCAGUCACUAGGGCUGAGUAGAACACUGCUUUUUUAAAAUUGUUUGAUGUUUUGUAUUGAGGACAAGCCUGUCCUUAAACUGUACGUACAGGAGGAAGAGUUAACUCUUUCUGCUUGAGCCAAGCCUGGAAACAGAUGCUGGAUGGCUGAGCAUUGGAAAUCUCUUCGUGCCAGGUAUAACAAGGAUCAUCUGGAGAAAAUGUGUAUCUGCUUGAGACAGCUCUGUUUUAGACAUGCACUGAGUGCAAAAGGAGUUUGCUGUCUGCUGGAAGAGCCAGGUCCCCAGCCUAACAGAAGCUGGAUUCAGUCCAAAGUGUCUGGAUGGCAUAUGGUAUUUACUGAAAUAUGGCAUUGCUUGUGUAAGCGAUGCACCCUUCUCCCUCACUCUGAAAACCAUCUGGGCUUCAUGUGUGAGCAGUUAAAAGCCAAGAGCAAGAGAGUAUCUGAUACUGUAUAGCUCUGGCAAUGAUACUUCCAUUCUGGUCCCCACCACCUUUGGUUUCCCUGUUUUUUGCAGGCAUGGGAGUCUCAGCCAUGCCUUGGUGUCCUCUUAACAACAUUUUUAUUUUUUUUUCUCCUUUUAUUUUCCAGCAGUGGUUUUAAACAAGAAAGGGUUGCACGAGGAGUUUGCAUAAGGCUUUACUGCCUGGGUAAGAGGAAGACUUUCUUGUCUGGGCCAGGGGACAAUUGUUAUGCUGGCCAAACCUUUCUCUGUUUCUAGCUGGCAUCUGUAGCCUGUAGCUUUGACUCUCCUGAUUUUUACACCACCUGGGUCCAAGCUCCUACAAGUGAGAAAGAGAUAUUAAACAUGCUUGUGUCCUGGCACGAAGAGGCAUUUUAUCCAAAGGGAGCUGAGAAUUGCUAGGUGAGGUUUGGGAUUGGUUAGGGCUCCCUGUUCAACAUGUAGCCAAUCUGAGAAAGAGAGGGUUUGUUCAGCUGCUGUGUUGGAGAGUCAGAAGGGGCCAGGAGAGCACAGAGUAUUGCCCCCUGCCUUUAAACAAUGAGAGCUUGGUUGUGCUUUUCAUUAGCUUCUAGAAUAGGGUUUAGUUAAAGGUGGUGUCCUCUGAUGUUUUUGAGGCUUUGUAACUUCCUCUUACCUGUGCGCACACUCUGUGGGUUUUGUUUCCUAAAGGGAGCAUCAUAUGACAGCCCCUACGCCACUGAUCUUUCUGGCAGACUGAUCCCUCUUCCUUCCUGAACCUGAUAAACAGUCCAAGAAUCUGUGUGUGAGUGCAUGUAUGUCUAUGAAUCCCACAGCCUGCUUCUCUGGUUCUUGGUGUGGUUUUUAUAUCCUUCCGGCAGUGCUUCUGUUGUUGCGCUGCUUCUCCUUCUUAUUUCCCUUCCUGCUGUGGUUUACCAGCUGCUGCUUAUUGUGAAGAUGGAGGUGAUACUGCACAACCCAUUUCUGAGAACCUUGACCUGUACUUUCCAGUUUCACAGCCUGAUGCAAUCCUGAGGGGUUUCUGAGGUAGUUAAAAGUUUUAGACACCCCUGAAUAGACAUUGCAAUGCUUUCUGUAAUCAGCUUGCUUUGAGGGCUAGCAGUUUCUUGCUGGAAUGUGGGUGCUGUGACUUGCGUGUUCCAAUGUGGACAUGCUGUGUCUGUCUGCGCAGAGCACUGUUGCACAUAAGAGCUCUGUUUUGAACCUGGGUUCUGCACCAGUGGCAUAAUGUGAAUUGUUCCCUGACUCCAGCUGCCUUUUGCCUAAGGAAGGUAAGUUACAGAGGCACUAAAACAGGUUCUCUUGCUUCCAAGCCCAGCACUUCGUGCUUUUUGUGGCCAAAGGAUCACAUUCCAGCUAUGUUUCUACUGUUGGAAAAUGGAAGUGCACCCAUCAAAACCUAGGGAUUGGGAGGCUUGGUAGUUGCACCUCUCUUCUGAGGGGAAAGCUGGUUCUCAUGGGCUGGGACUUCUGAAAGCCAUGUGGGGCAGUGCAGUCUUCUAGGCUGAGAGGAAUGCAUCUUCUACAGUUCUUGAAAUAGUGUGUUUGUGUCAUUCUUAUCUCUGGAGAGGCUUACAGUGAGAAGUGAGUUCUCGGAACUAGGCUGGACUAGUCUUGCCCUGUCUCCAGCUCUUCCAGCUGAGUCUCUCUUUCAUAGAGCACAGCUGGUGCUUGGAGAGCGAUAUGUGUUUGUCUCCAUCUUCCACAUAGGGAGGAGGGUUCCCGUUACUGUUUUCCCUUCCUCCAUCUCUCAGAGCUGGAGAGAGCAGCUCAGCAUUUAUUGGCAGCAUUUAAACAGGUCACUUCAGUACCCAGGCACCCUUCUCUUCCCCCCCCAUGUCUCCUUUUUGCUACUUUGGCAGAUUGCCUUUGCCUGAUUGACUGCAUUUCAAUUCAUCUCAGAUAUUUAAUCUUCUCCUUGGAGAAAGAUAGACUGGAAUGAAGCUUUUGCUGCCCUCAGGAAGGAAUCAAGAGCUUUAGAGUGUUACUUCAUUCAGUUCAAAAACAGCCCUCUAAUAACACAGAGGAGGUUGUGUUGUGCUGCAGAGAAAAGCCAGCUUUAAGAGGUGAUACUAUCUGUCUUUACCUAGCCUUGUGCUGUUUCUUGUAGAGCUGGAAUCAAAAUAACUCCUCAGAUUCUGCCGCUCAGUUGAUGGGAACUGCUUGAACUGGUUCCAUCUGCGUGUUCUGGAGGAAGGCCUUUCUUCCUUCCCCAUCUUGGUCAGGACACUUGGUGUCAAAACUAGGAGAUCUUUUUUUCGAAACUAAGGUGCUUGGAACAGGAGCAGUUCUGAGUGAUUUUUUUAUUUUUUUUUUUUUGGUCCAAUAGCUUGCUCCCUUUCACUGGGAGCACCUCCUCAGGGAAUGGUGGAAAGAGGUCGUGCUUUCACCUUCGCUGCUACUUUGCUUCCUCCUGAAGCUGAAUACAGCCGCCUCUACUCCUUUGCUUUGAAGGGAAGUGGCCUGCAGCUUUAUUUGCAUGGUAUGGGUGGAGAUGCAGUAAGAGGAAAUGAAGAAGCCUGCACUAACAGCAAUGGCUUUUGUUUGUCACCAACAAUACUGUGAGACUGGCUUCCUUAAAAAGCAAUUGCUGACUGGCCAGCUGCCACCUUUGGGCUCUGACUGCAUGCUCUUGUCUGGAGCAUAGAGCAGAAUCCUUCUGAUUUGCUCACUACAGGUUCUGCUGCAUGAGACAAUGGGAAAGAUGUGAUGCUCUUCCCCAGGAGUUAAUAUUGGAUGAAGCACAUGUUUAACCGCGGUAGGUCGGACUCUCCAGGCAUUCUCAGAGCAAGACCCCCUCCUCUUUCCAGAUGGUGAAAUGUCUCUGAAGAGCUCUCAGUCUGGAUAGACUUUUUUUUUUUUUUAAACUGCUUGGCCUCUGCCCAGUGGAGUCUCUGUGGCUUUAUGGGAAAGGAUUUUCAGUUGUUCAGUAAUGGUGCUGUGUGCAUUUUAAUGGGUGCACUCAGUGGAUCAUUCAGCUAGGGAUGGAACUGCACUGCUGGCAAUAGAUGUUUGUGCAUAUACAUCGAUUGCAUUUAUCUGUAAAGUUACAAUCCUUAUUCAGUCAAUGCUUUUGGUAUUAGGAGCCUGCUUGUUUUUCUGCAUCUGUGUUCUGCAGGCCUCUGUUAAGCCAGUUUCCACUUCCUUUCCUGCUGUGUACUGCUCUGUAUCUUCCUGUGCCUUGCACCCAGUUGGAAAGCUGCUGCAUCACUGGGCCUGGCUGCCCAGCUGUGCUUGUGGGAAAUGCAUGACUUCCUUGGGGACUGCUGGCUGGUGAUGGUUAAACAGCAGGCUGGGGACACAGACAGUCUUCUUAGCAAUCCAGAACAGGACAUGGUUUCUCUGUACCUCCCUAAAAGGAUGUGUAGGCAUAUUGAAGCAGAGGAAAUGAGUUCCAAGGGAGCAACAUUUUUUUUUUUUUUUUUAACCCUUUCUCUUCUGAAUGGGUAGGAGAGAGGGAGAGCCCUGAAAACCUGAAAGGUGAAGGUGUUGUAAGACUAAUGAGGAUCUAAAUUUGAAAUUAGGUGUUUCCCAUUUACUCUGAAGCAAACAGAGCCUCCAGAAAAACAGCCUCCAGAAAGAUCAGCAUGAGGUAGAUACAAGAAGCUGAAUUGCUCAGUGGAGAGACUUCUGUUAUUUUCUUUAUGUGGAUGGGUUGUGAAUUAAUGCUGUCUGCUGGCAGGGCUUGGACUGAUAGCUGAGGAAGUCCCUCACUGGAGUGUGGACCUGUCUGGGCACCUUGCAGCAUCCUGCCUUGUUCCAUGUUGUUGCUGUGGCCUUGAAUUCUGCCCUGUUUUUUGAGAUGAAAACAGAUCAAGGACUGUGAAAGCCAAAGCUUGCAAACAGUUUAAGAUCAAUCUAAUUUCUCAUGCGAGGUGCAUCUUGGAUGUGAGGGAAAGGGAAGGUUUUGGCUGCAGUGCUGCUCCAAGGCUGCAGCCUUGUGGAGGGGAAGAUGGUUUUGUUUAGUUUGCUUACAUACAGAAAGCCUGUCAAAAUAGGAUUUGGGAAAAAAAAAAAAAAGGAGGGGAGCAGGAAGUCUUCCUGAUGGCAUUAUUAGAAGGGAAAUGAAUGGUUUAAGUUCAGGGACGCUGCUGGAAGUAUAGUGCUUGGGGACAGUGGUGUCGUGAAAACCUCAUGACUUCCUGAGUGUAGGGUGUGAAUGUGAUCUGGAAUAAGCAAGAAAGGGCUAAAUAUAGAAGCUGCUGGCUCCUGUCCUGCAGUGGUGGCUCUGCCCUCCCUGCAGUCCUGGAGAUAGCAAGUUCUGCCUAUUGUUCCGGUCACAUUCUUGUGUCCCACGAUGGGGCCUCUGCAAUGGAAUGAAAUGAAGAGAAACAGAUGGGAAAACAAUAACCCUAGGAAUAAGCUCUGAGCUUUGCUGGCAGCUUCCAAGAACCCAUAAAUCCCCAAAUGCGUUUGUGCUAGAUUAGGGAACUGGAGCAAAGCAAAGGUCAAAUACUCGCUUUCCUGUCUCCCUGUGCUCCCAGUCCUCAGGGAAAGCUGUCUGUGGGGGUUCUACCUUGCAACAAGUCAUUGCGAUGUUUCCUUGGUCUUUUAAUUCUGGCCUCCUCUUCAGCUGUCCUGUCUUCAAGCUCCCUGACAUUUUUGUUUUUAUCCCCUUGGAUAAAGGGAGUGUGCAGCAAGACAGCUUGCCGUUCUGUCCUUCUCAGGUACAAGGGAGAGACCCUUGAAAAGUGGUGAUGCAGUCUUUCUGAGUUGCUGAUAAAUACAAAAAGGAAAGCCAUUAGUGACUGUCAGCCUCUUGGAAUGAGCAGCUGACUGAAGCACUGAGCAGGGAGUGUUGUGUGCUUGAAAUGCUGCAUAUGGUGAACAUAGAAUCAUAGGAUGGCUUGGGUUGGAAGGGACCUUUAAGAUCCCCUACUUCCAACCCCAGGGACACCUCCUUCUAGCCCUGUUUGCUCAUAGCCCCAUCCAGUGCUUUGAGUGCUUCCAGGGGGAGGGGGCAUUCACAGUUUCCCUGUGCAACCUUUUCCGGUGUCUCACCACACUCGCAGUAAAGAGUUUCUUCUAGUCUUCUAAUUUAAUUUAAUUUCCCCUCAUCCUGUCACUACCUGCCCUUAUACACAGACUGCACGUGCUCCAGCUGUGUUGUUACAGCACUAGAGCUAAGUCUCUUAAAGCCAGACAGGAAUCUAUACUCCAGCACUCAUCACCCUCAUUAGAAUUUCCCCCCCCCCCUUUUUUUUUUUUUGUUUUCUCUGCGUUCUGUUCCCCAAGCAUAUAUUCUUUCAGUCACCAUUCUUCUUGGUAUGUUUGCUCUUUCCUUCCACUGCUGUGUGUGAAACAGCUGUUGCUGCACCAAAUGGACAGAUAUAUCCAUAUGCAACAAAGAAAUGGUGAAAGCAUUCAUAGGCUGAGGUGGAUAGUCCAAAACUGCUGAGACUAGCAACCAGGCCUGUGUUUUAACAGUCUUUGGAUUGAUUAGACAAAGUGGCAUUUGUAGCAUGCAGACUUUCUCUGUAGCUGUUUACAGUUCUGUGUACAGGUAGAUGUGUACUCUGGGUCCGUGAUAGUUUAUUAGCUUUAUUUUUUCUUGUGCAGCUUUGAGUAGGAGAUUUUUUUUUCUUUGCAUUUUAUGUUUAUGCUCUUGUGUUCUUUGUGUACAUGAAGCCACAUAGGAACUGCAGUGACAGGUAAAAGGUGAACUUGAAAUCAGCACAGAGCACUGUUUUGUGCACAAGAAAGUGUAUUGCUUCCUUUGACCAAGUGCUGUGAUGUAAUGCAUAACAUGGUUUUUCCUGUGCUGCAUCCUUUGCCAUUCUGCAAUGCUGUGAUGCAGCUGGAUGUGAUGAGCACACGUAACAAAGGGUAUUUCAAAGGCAACAUCUGGGAAGUGCAACUGGCUGCUGCUCCACUUCCUGUGCUUGUUUCUGACACCUUGACAGGCCUUCCUAGGAACACACAGCAGGCAUGUGGAACUGUUCCUGUGAUGCUACAGGAUGUGAAUCUUCCUGUUUUGUUACCCACCUCAGCUCUAUUUAGGACAAGCCCUGCUUCCUGCUCAGAGCCAAACAAGGCACUGUCUGAGGCAGACUUCAUGAGGGAGAUGAAAUUUGUCCUCAUUUCCUAGGGGCUGUAGCAACUCAGAGGCUUGUCAUGUUGUCUGAUUGGGAUAUGGGAGGAAGAACUGGAGAAGAGACUCCAGGCUGAUUUUUCUCUUUUAGGGUAUUUUUCCCAUUUCUAUUAUCUCAGGGAAGAGUGGUUUACACUACAAGUCAAUGACCUUUUCUCAAAUGAAAAGUAAAUAGUUUCUCAGCAGUAUUUUCUUCUAUGGAAGAAAGUAGAAGGCAGGGAGGUGACAGGUAUCCGUUAGGUGUCACAGCUCUGGUACCAUAGAACUAGGAUGGAUAAUACUGGUGAAACCAGCAGGAGCAGAACUCUCUAGCUUUUAGAGAGGAAAGGGGAACCUGGGCAGCUAUGCAGGUUGGGGAUACUGAGUGGUUAGGUGGUGCCCAAGAAGAGUCAGUUAAUGGUGUGUUCUGUUCUCUCGCUGCCAGGAAAGCUGCGCUCAUUUUAUUUAUUUUUUUUUGUCCAGUGCUGGUAAGGGGACAGUUGAUUUCUGCAGCUCCAUCCUGCAGGAGCCAGAGCAUGCCACUGCCAGAAUACUCUUCUGCUUGGCAAAGAAUAUCUCAUUAUCUUGUGUCCAGAAGGGAAACAAACACAGCACACUGAAUAAUUAUCUCUGCCAUCCUUUCUGCCUCUAUUUCUUACAGUUAGCACACUCGCAGUUAAUUCCAAAAUGCUUUUUUUCCCUCUUCCUCACAGUUCUUGCAGUUGUACUGCCCUGAGCAACCAAGGCAUGCUUGAAAUAAAGCUGUGCCUGCUCCUGCCCUCUUUGAUUUAACUCUGCCCUUUGGGAAAACCAAGAGAUCCAGCUCUCCCAGACAGAGCAGGGAGACAUGUGAGAGAACCAGGGACAGGCUAUGUACACCUCUCUCCUUGUCCUUGCUUCUCCUUUACCCAUCAUUCUUCCACAUGAGCCCUGUACCUAGCCACGAUUGACCAAAGUCUGAGUGUAUUUUCAGGAUCCUCUGUCCUCAGUGAGGAACAGCACUCCUGAUGACUUCAUGAUGACCUCUCCUCCUGCUGUGCAGGAAAGGUGUCUAAGUCUGGCAAGCUUGACAAGACUGCAGCAGAUACGGCUACAGGAGCAUGUUCUUGUCUCCUGGAUACUCCUGCAGCUCUGCAGAAGCACUCUGAACAGCCACAAGAUCUCUUGAGUUUCUACAGUUUGCAGCAGACCUCCCCAGUGAGUGAAGAAGUGGAGAUCACACAGCAACUUUGGUUCCUGUCUGCACAACAAUGUACAAGUCAGGUGAGUGGAUCACAGACGGGGUGCUCCUAAAGUGAAAGUCCAAUGUAUGUUCAUGUUUAUGAACACUGCUCAUAGAAGCUGGCCCUGCACUGAGAGUUGAUGGCUUACAGUCAGUCCAAUAUGGAUUUCUUCUUCCUCAUGGAUGAGUAAUUUUUGCACUCUCCAUUGUGAGGAUUGGACAGCAGCAGCUCAGGUAGAAGCUGCUGUUAAAUCAGUUGCCAGACUCUCACAGUUCUCACCAGGGCUUACCUCCUUUCCUUUGGGCUAGCUGCACGAAAUGGUCUGGAAUCACAGAGUUUCCUUGUGCACUCUUUUUUUGUGAUGUUUCUCAGACAAGUUGUUAUGGCUGAUGCAGCUUUGUAGAGUAGUUGAGGAGGAGGAAGUCGUGAGUAGAUUGCCUGGGCAGGCUGUAGUGUCUCAGUCCCUGGAAGCUUUUUGGAAGAGACUGGCUUUGUGCCUCAACCAUGUUACACAGUAGUGGAACCUGUUUUAAGACAGAAUGCGAACUUGUCUUCGUACCAUUUGUUUUUUUCUCUUCUUGUUUUCUAAUGUGAAGCUUUUUUUUUAGGUUAUUUAAUCACUAGGGAGGAGUAGUGCAGGCUUCUUAGAAACUCAGAAGGAUGUUUUGCUCUUCAGUGUUGUCCUUCCGCUGUGUAGGGACAAACAGGAGAGAGAUCUGGGUGAGAAUCAGUCAUGAGGCUUGAGGAGAGCUACAGGCAUGAAAGAAGACAGUGCCCCUGACGACGUGAAUGGAAUGGCAGAAAGGUGGCACUUUUUUCAAGAGAUUUGUGCAUUGCAUGAGCAGGGAUGAUCCUGCAGCCUUUUCUCCAGCAGGUGACUGCAAGUUUCAUUUAUACUUUGCUUAUUCUUUGUGACCAGAAGGUGUUUCUUUUCCUAGUUCUUAGCUCUUCCUUUGCUGUGAAUCUUUUGAUUUUUAUUUUUUGUUUUGUUUUCUUUUUCCUCCUCAACUCUUCACACAUGAAGCACAAAGAAGAGGCCUGAUGUGCCUGCUACUCCAUUUGAUAUCUUCACAGCAUGAUUGAUGCUAGCUGGGCUUUGAAACAGAGGCACUUGUGCCACAGGACCUUCUCAGCAGCUCUACUGUCCUGCUUCCAUUCUAGAUUCAUACAUGCAUUCAAUGCAGCCAGCCUGCUCCCUAAUACCAUGGCUAUGGCUUCAGCCAGCCAGAAGUCAUCUACAAUUUGCCACUUGUGACACUGAGUCACAGGGAAGAGGAAGAUCUUGGUUUACUGUCUCAUAGGAAACACUCUGGCUUCAGGCUUCCUUGAGCUGUCUAUACCUCACCACUCCCCACAGUAUGACAGUGAAUGUUCUCAUGGUGCUGAUGGUUGUUUCCUGAAGAAGUAUCAGCUAUAUGAGGUGGAGUCGGUUGCUUUGGUGUUCCCUAUUCACAAAAGAAUAUUUAAAACGCUUCAUUAAAAAUCACGACUUGUGGCAGAAGAUUUCUUCCUUUUAAUCUUUGGCAAGUUUUAUCUGUUCAGUAGUGUGGAAAUAUGCAUGAAUGAUGGAGAGAGGCACUUCUUUGUCUGCCACCAAAAGAAAUGCAGCAUUCUGGGUAAAGAAGAAAAUUCUGUGUUGCUUUCAUCAGUAAAUGAAACUUCAGAAAAAGUCUCCCUCACACACAUCGUUUUGGAGGAAAUCUUCCACAUUUUUGGAGGCACUGGACAGGUCUGCAUUGGCCUUGGUACAAAAAUGUCUCAGCUCUCCACAACUUCCCUGGAAACAUCACUAGAAUAGCCUUUCCUGAGAGAUUUUGGCUUCCUUGCUGAGUUGACAAUGCGGCCAGACUCGGUGGGAUUUCCUCAGCACUGUGUGUUGUGCUGUGGCUGCACAGCAGAAUCUGCGAAGACAGAGGUCACAUUAAAUACCCAACAUUUUCACAGUCAAGUGUUUUACUAAUGGUAAUGCUUCAAAACCUUCACAGUUGAAAGAUGCCUUUAGAUUCAUCAAUCUUACAAAAAAAAAUUAGAGUCUAGAGUAUUGCAUCAGAGCCAUAGAGAACUACAUUGGGAAAACUAAGAAUUCAACACCAGCUGUGUCUGGGCAGUAUUCCUUCAGUCUUUUUCUGUCAGCUCACCUCUAGCAGGUAGCGCAUUCAGAGCUACACUGACAGAACACUCACAUACCAGGUGCUCUGGAUGGUGUUAGGGGCCAUUGGGUGCCUGUUUUAGGCAUCAAAGGAGAGGACUGUUCAGACAGCCUUCUUGUUUUAUUUCCUCCUUUCUCAAUCAAUGUAUUGAAGUCCUAUAGCUCCACCUGGGCAGGUCUGGGUUGGGACUCAGAGUACUCAUUCAUUUUACAUUGGUGCCUCCAGUGCCAUUUUGAAGGUAGUGGUCCUGGUGGCAUUCACGAUGAUGUCAAACCCCUACAGCCUCUUUCUAAAUGCUUGGUGCCUCCUGUCUCUCUUUCUGGGAUCUGCUGUAACGCAGACCAUGUUUUAACAGAACCUACAGGGCUGGAAGGUGCAGCUGUUCCAAUCACAUUCACAGAGGACUCAUGCUAAACGUAAGCCCUUAUGAUGUUUGUUCUUCUGUCAUGCUUAUAUUUGUCUUGUACUUUGUCUGGGUAUUCAGAUUGUGUGUCUUGGCCUGCCUCUGUCAUAUAUAUUUAAUCCUGGUUUCUUUGCUCUCUUGCAGAGACUUGCUAGGGAACAAAGCGAAGGGAGAGUCUUGGUGAGACAAUGUGUAGGGAGAGCUGACAGCCAGCCAAAAGCCUCAUCCAGCUACAAUAAGUUUGUAGGCAGAAUUAUUUUCUUAGCACCUCAUCAUGCUUCCUGCCAAAGCUUGGGCAGUCAAACAGGUUUUCCAUCCUGGUAGGCUACAAAACUUGGGGUGGUUAUUUAGACAAGAUGGUGAAUAUUAUUUGAUGACUGCCUUGCAGAGAGGGCUACCGAUAGGGGACGGGAGAAAAUGUCUGGAGGCAUAAAAAGAGGAACACUUGAGCCAAAUCAGUACUGGGUAUUUGAAGUCAGAUGCCUGUCUUUUUCCUGUGCCUGCUAAUUCUAAGUCCAAACUAGAGCAGGUUUGCCUACUUUUACAGCUGGAUCUGGGAGAUGUGUAAGUGCAUGUCUCAGGCUCAGCAGAAAGCAGGAAUUUUCCAAGGUGGUGAGCACAGUCUAACUGCAGGACUGGCUUUGUCCUGGCAACAUCUCUCCAAGCCUUGAUCCUGCCUGGUAGUAAUUCUACACUGAGGAGUAUGUGGAAAUAAAAAGUUAAGAGUCAUUUGGAUGGUAAUUAGCACAAAAGAGACCUGCUACUUUUUUCUGAGAUACCAUUCAAUGGUGAACUGCCCUAAGGAUUUUAGGGUUAGUGGUUUUGUUGCUUGCUUGCUUUUGGGUGUUUUUGUGUGGUCACUUUUUAAAAAUACAUUUGAUUUUCCUUCUCUCAAACUACCUAAGCAAGAUCUCAUGUAUUCUGGAACCUCCUGAUUCCAGCAAUAGCUGUAAAUGUGUCUGAGAGAUGCAAGCAGUUGCUGGAGAUCUAGUAUGAAGUGGUUUGUGGGGAGGAAUCCUCAGGUACAAAAUUACUUCUGCUACAAUGACAUUCCAGCUCUAGCUCUAGAUUUUUGUUUUUCCUUCCUCUGCCCACCAGGUCCUCUGGGAGUGCCGCCCCUCCCAUCCGAAGACCCAAAAUGGCUGUAAAAGGCAGUAAACAGAACCAGAAUAUGAACUCUAGCUCCUGCUAUUUCACAUGAUAUUCUGGUGUGGAAUACCAGCAACAAAAUAUCACAAAACCACAGCAGGAGUCAGAGAGGUCACACAUGCUUGCUGUUACGCUCCUCGAAGUUCUCAGCCAAAUGUGCUGACAGAAUAAAGCAUUCCCAAGUGCUUCAGAACUGUGGAGAUCUUCUGUUGAAUCUUGUUCCUUCAGUCUGCGCUGUUCACACUCAUCACAGGGGAAAAUGCUCCACCUCAGGACUUCUGGACCUCGUCGGGAAGAGAGUGUCUGGGAAAUGGAGAGCUUCCCUCUGGUUGAGGAUGAGGUGGUCGGGGAGCAUUUAGUUGGGAUCAGUGUGCACAAAUCCAUGGACCCAGAUGGGAUGCUGAGGGAGUAGGCAGAGGAGUCUGCUGAACCGCUUUCCAUAAUCUUUGAGAGCAGGAGAGGUGCUUGAAGACUGGAGGAUAACCAGUGUCACUCUGGCAUUCUAAAAGGGCAAGGAAGAGGAUCUGGAAAACUACAGGCCAGUCAGUCUUACUGGAAACUUGAUGGAACAGCUUGUUCUGGAUGCCAUCUCCAAGCAAUUGAAAGAGAAGAAGGUCAUCAGGAAUAGUCAGUGUGGAUUCACCAAGGGAAAAUUGUACUCAACCAACCUCGUAGCCUUCUAUGAUGGCAUCACCAGCUGGGUAGAUGGGGGGAGAGCAGUGGAUGUCAUCUACCUUGACUUCAGCAAGGCUUUUGAUAAAGAAGCUGAGAAAGUGUGGGACAGAUGCGUGGAUGGUGAGGUGGGUUGAGAACUGUCUGACUGGCUGAGCUCAGAGGCUUGUGAUCAGCGGUGCAGAGUCACAGUUCAGUUAAUUUGAAACAUUCAAGUGUACCUGUUUCUGCUGUGGGCAAAGCUAAUCUUGCCUUCUGCAAGCAUCUUAAGAAUCAGCAUACCUAUCUAGCUUGUUAAAAGGGGGAUUAGCCCUAUCCUUAACUAAGCAAGUAUGUGUGAAUGAGAGAGGUGGGGUCGAGAUCUCAAGACAGCUGCAAACCUCUCUUCAAAUACUGGGCAUAGUUUACCCAAAUGACUAUAAGGAAUGUGUUCUAUUGGCAUGCGUGUUAGGAGAGAAGGAUCCCAGUGUAUUUGGUGCUGUGUUAAAGAAUGCAUGUUUCUUAAUACCACAUUGUUCUUAAGGAGUUUUAUUUGGGCUGCAGUUUAUCUGGUAACAUUUUGAGGUUGCUUUGUUGUUUCUUUCUGUAUACAUGUUCUAGAAAGCCAAUUUGAUCGCAACUGAAUGUUCAAAUUGAGAACUUGUGGGUAAUGGAAGGUGUCAGAUGCAUGGUGUUGCUGUGAGGUGUUACCCCACAUUUAGCUCCAGAAACAGAGAUGCUGCUUCUAGGUAUUUCUUUAUUGCAAAAGGAAUGAUUUUUAAAACUGCAUAGACCUAAAACUGUACAGGAGCUUGGUGUUUAUAAGUUUAACCCAAAUAUCCUCAACAUAUUAGCACAGAUAAUGACCCAGUGAGUGUUAACUGUACUACUGAAUUUCAUUUACAGGCUUGUGGUACCCAAAAUGGUUUCACAGGGAAUUCUGAUUUAAUUGUGUCUUCUCUGAGCUGGGGACAUUGGUUUUUUUUAUUCUAGAACCAACAACUGACCACCAUGUGCAGUCUACAUGGCUUGAGAGCUUUUUGUUUUGUUCCUGCACAGCUCCAGCUCUCUCAGCCUGUCCUCAUAGGAGAGGUGUUCCAUUCCAUGCACUGUUUUUGUGGCACUUCUCUGUAUGUGCUCCAACAGGUCAAUGUCAUUCCUGUACUGUACUCCUCAUCUGGAUGCAGUGCUCCAGGUGAAGCCUCACCAGCACAGAGUAGAGGUGCAGGAUCACCUCCCUGACCUGCUGGCCACACUGCUUUAGAUGCAGCCCAACAUACAUCUGCCUUUCUGGGCUGCAAGAGCACGGUGCUGGCUCACGUACAGGUUCCCAUCCACCGGUACCCCAGGUCUUUUUUGGCUGGGCUUGCUCACUUAGGAGUGAGUGGUGAUUCUUUCCGUCUUUCACCAGGAUUCAGUUUCCAGGUUGGAUAUUAUGCACUGCAGUGUCCAAGGGUAGGGUUUGUGCUCACCAGCUUCCUGCCAAACAGACUUGACAAGAGGCAGUAUCUUGCCCACAUUCCCUCCUCCUAGUUGGAGCGUUUACUUUCUAUUCAAGUACUGAAGCACUCCUUCUGUAUUGCUCUGAUUUCCAAAUUGAUGGAGUUCAGAGACACAGUGUCUACAGAGAAUGUGGAGUUUUGUGUUUUAUUUUUAACAGUUCUGUCUAUUUCUGGGGAAAUGUGGCUGUCAUUUGGCAAUAUGCCUGGUACUCAUGCCAGCCAGCACCCACAGGUGUAUGUCUGCCCACCAUUGACUCAGCCUCUAUAAAUUCCUGCUGAAAGCA